rnacentral:misc_RNA from 1 species
CGCUUCCAAAUGGUUUUUCAAUUCCAAUGCAUCAAAGCACCCAAAUGUUCAAUAAGUAACCUUAGUUUCCAAUCAGAGAUGAGUAAAAGUAGAAGCUAGAGUGGUACAAUUCAAUUGCCAUAACCGAAUGAUUAUUUUGGGUCAAGGACGAAAAAGAAAAGGAGUAUUUUUUCCGGAGAAGUAUAAAAUUAUGCUCGUAGAGUUACAUUUGAUCCCUGUGAAUUUCCUUGGCAAGCUGAUUAAGUGGAAACAAAGUACGAAACAUAAUUUGAAGCAAUACUGACAAAAUCCUUCAUUGCUAUUCAUACAUGCUUAAUCUCAGUGAUCUUGGAUGGUUGAACUGCAUCAUGGGCGUUGCCCCCAUUAGAAUUCUGCUUCCUUUCUGCCUGAAGUGAUCGGCACAAUGAUUCCAACUUCUCUUUUUGAUUCUUGGUUUUCUCCAGUUGCAUCUUCAACUUCUCACGCUCCUCAACAAGUUCUAUGAGAGUAACAUCUGAUUUCUCAGAUUUGCUCUUCAAGAAAACAUUUUCCUUCUUCAGUUCCUUGAUUGAUUUUGCCAUCUUCUCAAUCUCUUGCUUAAAUGUUUCAAAAACCUCAUUGCUCUUUAACAAUGCCUCCUGGAAUUGUUGGAAUUUUUCUCCAUCAGCUGUCAACUGCCAGCGCAAAUUCUUUUCUGUCACCAAUAAUUGUGCCACCUGUUCAGCAUACACUUUCAUGUGAGACUGCUCCUGGAUCAAUUUCUCUUCAUGUUGCUUGAUCUUCAAAUCAGCAAGCUGAAGUUCCAGUGUUUUCUGUUUUAACUUCUGUGCAUAUUGUUGUUCAGAAAGAGCAUACUGAUCAGCUAGUUGUUUCAGCUUAUUUCUUAACAUCUCAUUCUCCUUCAACUGUGAGAAACAUUCCUCUUUCUGUUCCUCUAACUUGUUGCUCACAUCCUUGAUUGCAUCAUGGAACUUAGCAGAUAAAUCUAAUCUCAAAUUUUGCCCCUCUGUUGACACCCUUUUGCAUUCUCCCAUUAACAUUUUAUUCUGGCGCUGUAACUCUCUGCAGAGUGACUCAAGUUUAUCGCGAACGGCAAUUGCAGCAUCUCUUUCUGCAAGAACUUGUUGAUACUUCAAAGUGAACUCUAGAAACUCCUUUUCUGAUUUAAAUGACCGUUUUGCAUUCUUACGUUUGGCUUCAGUGGUUUCUAGUUUUCUGCCUUUCUGCAAUUCAAUGCCCUCCGAUGAAGAUAUUUCAUUUGCAUCUAUAGCUUGGGUGCCUGAAUCUCCUUUAAUGGAGCUCUCUGAACUUUGACAAUUCCCUUGAACAUGUUCUUUUGCCUCACUGCAUUCAGGUACCCCAAUUGAAUCCUCAUAAACUAAAUUAGCAGAAUUGAGCAUGGCCAUUGUACCUUCUGCCUGAUCCACAAGGGCCUUAUCAGGCAACUCUUCUGAUUGAUCUGAAGCAUCAAAUCCAUCUAUUUCAGAUAAUGGAAUGGGAAGCGGUCUCAGUUUUCCUGUCUUCUCAUUGCUCUCCUGGUUUGAUCCAUUUGCUACUACACUUGUUAUUCUUUCAUUUGAAUGAUCAAUUUCUGAUAUACUAUCCUCAUUGCAAUCAGUCAGAGGCUUCUCUUGCUCCAAAGUUGGGGUUGGAGGAGCCAGAAGUUCAUUGGAGCUGUCAACAAAGCCAUCUGGCAAUGAAUCCACUUCAGGAAGCUGAUUUGCAUCUACAUUCUCCAUUUCAGCUACAGCAUGUAAGAGACAAAAUCCAAUCUAGAAAUUUGAGAGAGAGAGAGAGAGAUGAAUAAUUUUAGAGGAAGCCUCAAAGUACAAGAGUUGAUGAAGAAGGGAACGAGAAACUUUGGGAAGGAGGAGUUGUUGUCACUUAGCAGAGCUGGGUUUUCACUGCUUUAUACUCUCUAUGUGUUGUUUGGCUGC